AGGAGAGGAGAGGAGCAUCCUCCCUGCGGCGGGGGCCGCGGUUGCCAUGGGAGCGCGGAUGUUUUCCCUUCCAUCAGCAUCUCGUCUGCCCCCAGCGCUCUGCCCUUACAGCCCCGCGGACCCGCAAAUGCGGCUGACGUGGCUUUGGGAGCUCUCCACGCUUGUUGGAAGGAGGACCUACGGUUCAACCCUGCAAUUCCUUUCUGCCCAGCUGGAUUCAUUUUUUUCUUUUUAGAGGGGGAGGGGGUGAACCAGGGAGGAUGCAGUGUCCUGUUCACCAUUUGAGCGCACGCUGCACGUGCAGGGCUCUGCCAAGAGCCGGCUCUCGGUGCUAGGGAGGAUGCGGGAGGAUGCGGGACGAUGCGGGAGGAUGCGGGAGGAUGCGGGAGGAUGCGACCGGAUUGCAGGAGAUGCGGGUGCCUGAUGGACUGCUCGCACAGGCAGAGAGCGCCUGCCCGGGGCAAUCGGCACAGGCAAACCAACCCUGGGGCUGCUCUGCUGGUUCAUCAGCGGCCUGAGGAAGCCAGCCAGCUCUUCCAUCCAACCCAAGGCACUGGGUUUCCCCUCGUCUCUAGCCAAAAAACCCUGCCAAAGCUGUCCUGCAGACUCAAAUUGCAUGUGGUGUUAAGCAGUUCUUAGGAGAAGGAAAUUCUCCCUCUGGUAGCAAGUCUCCAAGGGAGGGAAUCCGGAGUCAGCCUGAGAUUUCAGACACUGCUUUAAAUCUUGUGACCUCAUCUGGCCAAAGCUAGUAAGGCUGAGGGUGUCCCUGCCCUGACAAAUGUUUUUCCUGGUGCCUUAGGCAAGGUUUCUGCUGUUGGGACUUGACCUGAGUGCCUGGACAGCUCUGGGAUGCUGAACAGCAGCAACAAGGAUGUUUGCACCUCACCUGGCCCCAAACUGCAGGGGAGCAAGCAGCCUGGGGAGCCUAGGGGAGUGGACAAUAUUUUUCUCCCCUAAAUUAAUCUUUCCAUGGAAAAGGAGUGCAGGAACACCUAAGAAUUCAUCUCAAGAGCAAAUCCUAUUUAUUUGCUGUUAUCCACAAUCCCCCUGGAUCAGGAGGACCCAGCACUCCAUCCCCCAGCACAUCUGUGCAGCUGCUCCCUGGAGCUUGACAGCAGUUUGGGCAUGAGGAAACAGCACUGCAGGGCUGCUGGUCUUGGAAGGAUGAUACCCAAAAAAUUAAUGAGCAUUGCUACAAAAGUCUGGAGGAUUUAAGCAUGGCACUAGAGGGACCUGUGAGCAUUUUACACCAAAUGUAAGGGGUAAGAAGGCACCACAGGAACAGCUCCAGUUCAAACACUCACCAGUGUAGGAAACAAUCUUCAAGUGCAGAUGCCCUUCCCAAGGACUUUAUUGCAUAUCAAAGGCAAUAACAAUUUAUUUCAGUGUAUUCACUGUUAGAUAUAAUAGCCAAACAGAGGUAUGAAAGACCCAAGCUGACACUCUGGUUAAAAUCCAUUGCUCUGCCUAAUCAUUGUACAGCUGAACAACAAAUCACCAGAGUGGCUAUAAAUCGUGUAUUUGCAUAAAUAAAUAAACGUAGUCUUGUGCA
ensembl:lncRNA